GACGAACGCUGGCGGCGUGCUUAACACAUGCAAGUCGAACGGCAAGGCCCUUCGGGGUACACGAGUGGCGAGCGGGUGAGUAACACGUGGGUGAUCUGCCCUGCACUUCGGGAUAAGCCUGGGAAACUGGGUCUAAUACCGGAUAGGACCACUGCCUGCAUGGGUGGUGGUGGAAAGCUUUUGCGGUGUGGGAUGGGCCCGCGGCCUAUCAGCUUGUUGGUGGGGUGAUGGCCUACCAAGGCGACGACGGGUAGCCGGCCUGAGAGGGUGACCGGCCACACUGGGACUGAGAUACGGCCCAGACUCCUACGGGAGGCAGCAGUGGGGAAUAUUGCACAAUGGGCUCAAGCCUGAUGCAGCGACGCCGCGUGAGGGAUGACGGCCUUCGGGUUGUAAACCUCUUUCAGCACCGACGAAGCGCAAGUGACGGUAGGUGCAGAAGAAGGACCGGCCAACUACGUGCCAGCCGCCGCAGUAA
rnacentral:rRNA from 1 species